GCGUGGCUAGUCUAGUUGGUUAGGACCUGACCUUGCCAAGGUCAUAACGCGGGUUCGAAUCCCGCGCCACGCA
rnacentral:tRNA from 1 species